CGAGCCCCGAACUUGCGGGAAGAAAGGACUGCCCCCUUCCAACCCGUUCGGGUUGGUUUGCGCUGGAACGCCACGCUUUUCAAAGUGUCUGAGUGAUAGGUACUUUCUAAAUAUGUACAGCGAUGGCCUGAUAAGCAACUAAGCGUCUGGCUUCGCGGGUUCAUGCCCGAGGCUGUGCGGUCGGGGGAGGCUGGGGGCUCAGCCGAAACCUCAGCUCCUCCUUACAGGCCUGGUUUGGAAACGGGCUGUACACUGCUGGGGGCCCCACUUUCCAAUGUUUACUUCUGAGAUUGGAAGAAGAAGACAAGAAACACCUCCUCACCCCCUACCCUCUGCCUCCACGCCCGCGACUCAGCCCAGGUGACCCAAACGGCAGAGUCAACUUGGCGCAACCGGAGCGUCCCCAUCGCGCCGGCCACCCCCAGCCCCCUUCGCCCCUCGCUUGGCCCCACAAUGCGCCGUUGUGCCGCGCCUGCCGUCAGGCCGGGGAUUUGGAGCAGGGAUGGGGGGAAUAUUCGUCAGAUAUUUAAAACAGAGCCGAGAGAACAAAGCAGGCCUUUGUGCAGCAGGGCGGCCCGGGAGCUGGGAGCCGCCGGCCCCCAAGCACUGUGCUGGGCCAGGAGAGUGCGCAUGCGCGCGGCGACCUGUGCGCUCGGGUUCUGUGCCGGCUUUUACCCCAGCUGAAUAACCUGGUGGUCACAAGAAAGCAAAGGGAUUUUUAUGUGACAUCAUCUUGGCAAGAAGCUCCCUUACCAACCUUGACCUCCAGGUCUCCAUGGCAACUGCUGCUGGGACAUCAUUGGCACCAGAUUGUGUCCCUUAAAGGCCACACUGCAGCAAGGGCAGAUAAACAAUUUCAUGGCAACAGUCACGUAGCAAUCUCAUUCUUAAAUGUGGGCUGGUUAGUUAGGAUGAUUGACUUGCUUGACCAACAGAAUAUGCUAGGAGCAACAUUCUGGAACUUCCAAGGCUUGGUUGUAAGAAGCUUUGCAAUAUCUGCCUGGAUCUCUUAGAACCUUCAAUAUGGGACACUUGCUCUAGAAAUCAGCCACCAUCCUGUGAGAAGUCCAAGCCACAGAGUGAGGCCAGAAAUAGUUGCUGCAGUCAAGAGCCCCAGCUGAGCUCUCAGCCAACAUUCAGCAUCACUGCCAGCCAUGUGAGUGAGUGAUGGUGACCUUGGAUGUCCAGCUCAGUAGAACCUUCAGAUGAUUUCAGCCCUAGCCGUUCCAACUGCAAGAC
rnacentral:lncRNA from 1 species